rnacentral:tmRNA from 1 species
GGGGGCGAUUCGGAUUCGACGCCGGUAUCAACACCUGAAGUGCAUGUCGAGAGGGUAGUAACUCUCGUAAAUCAAUUACUGCAACUUUAUAGUUGCCAACGACGAUAGAUACGCUCUAGCAGCUUAAUAUAGCUUGCUAGCGAUUGCCUCAGGGAUGCCUGUAAACCGGAGUUUUGCAAUCGUCAUUUAGAACAGGAUCGCGGAACGGGUGUUUGGGACCGAACCGUUAAAUCUUUCUCAAACUCGCCCUACUCGCCCUGCCCGUCGGGUAGACGUGGGCUAACUCAAUAGACGACGCUAAACAUGUAAAUCUUUAGGCCGCGAACUGACGGACGGGGAUUCAACUCCCCCCGCCUCC